rnacentral:rRNA from 1 species
AUUGAACGCUGGCGGCAGGCCUAACACAUGCCAGUCGAACGGUAACAGGAAGAAGCUUGCUUCUUUGCUGACGAGUGGCGGACGGGUGAGUAAUGUCUGGGAAACUGCCUGAUGGAGGGGGAUAACUACUGGAAACGGUAGCUAAUACCGCAUAACGUCGCAAGACCAAAGAGGGGGACCUUCGGGCCUCUUGCCAUCGGAUUUGCCCAGAUGGGAUUAGCUAGUAGGUGGGGUAACGGCUCACCUAGGCGACGAUCCCUCGCUGGUCUGAGAGGAUGACCAGCCACACUGGAACUGAGACACGGUCCAGACUCCUACGGGAGGCAGCAGUGGGGAAUAUUGCACAAUGGGCGCAAGCCUGAUGCAGCCAUGCCGCGUGUAUGAAGAAGGCCUUCGGGUUGUAAAGUACUUUCAGCGGGGAGGAAGGGAGUAAAGUUAAUACCUUUGCUCAUUGACGUUACCCGCAGAAGAAGCACCGGCUAACUCCGUG